rnacentral:lncRNA from 1 species
ACGGGAACAGUGGCAGAGUGCGUGCUUUAAGACUUCUCGAGUAAACGCAAACAGACAUCGCCAUAGGUUUCUUCAUCAUCGAUCAACAUUCCGUGAAGCUAAAGCUUUAGCGAAAUUGUACCUUAACACUGCACAUCGUGUUACCCCUCGCUUGCGCGGAUACAUUUAACUUAGCGAAGAAAAUAAAUUUACAGUUGUAACGAUAAAACCGGGUCAGAAGAGGCGAUUGGCACGGCUGUAAAAGACGUUCCUUUAAACCUUGCAAAAUGCCCUUCCCAAGAUCAAACGAAGAUAAAAAGAGUUUGCAGUCCGCCAUUUUAAUGCACGUUCAAACCUUUGAUUUCGAUCAUAGCUCUCACCAGUAAACUUCCCGAUAUUAAAAAAAAAAACGAGCGAAAAGGGCAUCAGCAAGAUUGCACCACGGUGUUUGUGGUGUCUUGACUUUUCUCUUGUUUCCGUGUUUGCACGCCCAGUCUUUUAGCAUGAAUAAGAAUUUCAUGCAUGUCACACAUGUAUCUCGAUGGUAAUUAUGACAGACAAUCGAAUUCACCCAAACUUCCCAACAGCAAUUGGUAAUUCCAGCUAACAGAGGUUUCUCUGCGGAUAUUUCAACUCUGAUUUCUCACAACACACAAGUGCAGUCAGUUAGGUUUGGCCUAGAUAUAUUUUUGGUAUGACCACGUCAAUAAACAUAGCUAGGUAUCCGUACAGCAAGCACUGGGCUGUGUCUCCAAAAUUCUUUUUGCAUUAGAACACACUUAGAACUUGGGGUGAUGACGUUUACUGCCGCGAUUUUCAAAAGCCAGGAAAUAUUGGUUUACAGCGGGCAUCUAUUACAGCCGUUUAUCACGACACGGGAAGCCGGCUUGUCACACGCGUGGCUUUAAUCGGGUUUCGUUUUGUUUUUAAG